AUUGAACGCUGGCGGCAGGCCUAACACAUGCAAGUCGAGCGGAUGAAGGGAGCUUGCUCCUGGAUUCAGCGGCGGACGGGUGAGUAAUGCCUAGGAAUCUGCCUGGUAGUGGGGGAUAACGUCCGGAAACGGGCGCUAAUACCGCAUACGUCCUGAGGGAGAAAGUGGGGGAUCUUCGGACCUCACGCUAUCAGAUGAGCCUAGGUCGGAUUAGCUAGUUGGUGGGGUAAAGGCCUACCAAGGCGACGAUCCGUAACUGGUCUGAGAGGAUGAUCAGUCACACUGGAACUGAGACACGGUCCAGACUCCUACGGGAGGCAGCAGCGGGGAAUAUUGGACAAUGGGCGAAAGCCUGAUCCAGCCAUGCCGCGUGUGUGAAGAAGGCCUUCGGAUUGUAAAGCACUUUAAGUUGGGAGGAAGGGCAGUAAGUUAAUACCUGGCUGUUUGGACGUUACCAACAGAAUAAGCACCGGCUAACUUCGC
rnacentral:rRNA from 1 species